AGCUCGGUACUCGCGAAUGCCAUAGAUUAAGUUGAUCAUGGCUCAGAUCAACGCUGUAGUGCAGGCCUAACACAUGCAAGUCGAGCGGAUGACGGGAGCUUGCUCCUUGAUUCAGCGGCGGACGGGUGAGUAAUGCCUAGGAAUCUGCCUGGUAGUGGGGGACAACGUUUCGAAAGGAACGCUAAUACCGCAUACGUCCUACGGGAGAAAGCAGGGGACCUUCGGGCCUUGCGGCUAUCAGAUGAGCCUAGGUCGGAUUAGCUAAGUUGGUGAGCGGUAAUGGGCUCACCCAAAGGGCGACNGAAUCCCNGUAAACCUUGGUUCUGGAGAAGGGGAUUGAAUCCCANGUCCACCACUGGGAAACCUUNGAAGAACCCACCNGGUUCCAGGAACUUCCCUACCGGGAAAGGCCAAGCCAGUGGUGGGGAAAUUAAUUUGGGACCAAUUUGGGGCCGAAAAAGGCCUUGAUUNCCCAGACCCAAUUGNGCCCCGGCGGUUGUUUGUUUGAGACGCAAACACGGGGCCUCACCAGGAAUUUGGGUAAGANACGCACACCCUAUUACAAGAUUUGGGCGGAACAGGNACCAGGGGCCAGNUUAAACGAUCUUAAAAUACCCCUUUUGGCACNGUGGUUUUUGUNACACCGUUUUACCCCGCAGCACCGCAAAAUUAAAGGCCCCCCAGAGGGAAUCAAACCACUUAUUUAUGUCCCCAAAGCCGAGACGCUCCACAGGGGUGUAUAAAUCAACCACAAA
rnacentral:rRNA from 1 species